GAGAUGGGCAGCAUCAUGGCUGUGGUGGCCGUGUUGCUGAUCCACAUGGACAGGAAGGCCGACACAAUCAUGAAUCCCAUCAUCAGCCUGCUUUAAGCUCUUACAAGGCUGGACGAACGCCAACCAGGAGAAGAACACGGAGAGCGAUGCGUUUAUGAAGGUUCCAGUGCUCCACUGCAAUGGCCACCAACAGACCGCCCACAAACAGCAUGUUGGAGUCUUUCAAAUACUCAAUACUGACCUGAAAAAAAGAUAACGAGUAUUAAUUCAUGCCCAAAAGAAAUUAAAAUUAUUCUGAACACAGACA